GUACAAAUUUGGGGGCAAGUGGCUGGAUAAAUAAAGUGGGUGAGUGGCAGAAAAGUGGUGAGCAGCGAAUUGACUGUCCUGCUUGGCUUCAUGGGUGUGACGACAUGAGAAGAGGAAGCCCAUUUGCACAUUGAAACCAUAUCACCGAUGCAUAACGCAACCCAAGCUCGAAGGACAAAGACUCAUCGAGAUCAUGUUCAACAACCAGAGAUGACCUCGACGUUCUCUCACUCCCCGGGGCCUGGACAUCCCAGCCUGGACUUCGGAGUUGCUGGGACAGCCCAUGGACGAGGUCUUCCAGGUAGGCACACACAAAGGACCGCUUCGCGAAGCUCGUUAUGCCGUACGUUGAGCAUAUAAACUCAUUACUGGAUGA